AUGGCUGAAGUCAAUAUUUCAUUAAUCAGUGCUUUGUCCUCCACCUUAGGUGUCCACGCCAACGUUCAGCUUGUGGAAUCCGGACCAGGAACGCUCAAGCCUGGGCAAUCACUCAGACUCGCCUGCAAAAUAUCUGGGGAUUCUGUGAAGAGCAACUACUGGCAUUGGGUCCGCCAGGCUGCAGGAAAGGGACUGGAAUGGGUGGGACGGAUCGUCUGGAGUAGCAACACAUGGCAUAUAUUCUACCUGCCAUCUCUCCAAAGCCGAGCCACCCUCUCUGCCGAUUCCUCCAAGAACGAGUAUUAUCUCGAGCUGAGGUCCCUGACAGCUGCCGACACAGCCGUGUAUUACUGUGCCCGAGAAUCACAGUGA